rnacentral:piRNA from 1 species
UGGGAAGUAAGUUGAAGCCAGCCUGGCCU